CCAGCACGGACCGCCGAGAUUGGGCUCUC
rnacentral:sRNA from 1 species